AAGGAAUAUUGGUCAAUGGGCGCAAGCCUGAACCAGCCAUGCCGCGUGCAGGAAGACGGCCCUAUGGGUUGUAAACUGCUUUUGUCAGGGAAUAAACCCCGUCCGUUUACCGGGCCUCAGGUUCCUUGAGAAUACAGCAUCGGCAAACCCGUUGCCAGCAGCCGCGGUAAUACGGAGGAUGCAAGCGUUAUCCGGGAUUCAUUGGGUUUAAAGGGUGCGCAGGCGGAUUGAUAAGUCAGGGGUGAAAUCCAACAGCUCAACUGUGGAACUGCCUUUGAUACUGUUAGUCUUGAGUAUAGUUGAAGUGGGCGGAAUGUGUCAUGUAGCGGUGAAAUGCUUAGAUAUGACACAGAACACCGAUCGCGAAGGCAGCUCGCUAAGCUAUAACUGACGCUCAUGCACGAAAGCGUGGGGAUCAAACA
rnacentral:rRNA from 1 species